rnacentral:rRNA from 1 species
CACGUCAUGGUGGGCACUCUAAGGAGACUGCCGGUGACAAACCGGAGGAAUCCGUAACUGGUCUGAGAGGAUGAUCAGUCACACUGGAACUGAGACACGGUCCAGACUCCUACGGGAGGCAGCAGUGGGGAAUAUUGGACAAUGGGCGAAAGCCUGAUCCAGCCAUGCCGCGUGUGUGAAGAAGGUCUUCGGAUUGUAAAGCACUUUAAGUUGGGAGGAAGGGCAGUAACUUAAUACGUUGCUGUCUUGACGUUACCGACAGAAUAAGCACCGGCUAACUCUGUGCCAGCAGCCGCGGUAAUACAGAGGGUGCAAGCGUUAAUCGGAAUUACUGGGCGUAAAGCGCGCGUAGGUGGUUUGUUAAGUUGGAUGUGAAAUCCCCGGGCUCAACCUGGGAACUGCAUUCAAAACUGACAAGCUAGAGUAUGGUAGAGGGUGGUGGAAUUUCCCGUGUAGCGGUGAAAUGCGUAGAUAUAGGAAGGAACACCAGUGGCGAAGGCGACCACCUGGACUGAUACUGACACUGAGGUGCGAAAGCGUGGGGGAGCAAACAGGAUUAGAUACCCUGGUAGUCCACGCCGUAAACGAUGUCAACUAGCCGUUGGGAGCCUUUGAGCUCUUAGUGGCGCAGCUAACGCAUUAAGUUGACCGCCUGGGGAGUACGGCCGCAAGGUUAAAACUCAAAUGAAUUGACGGGGGCCCGCACAAGCGGUGGAGCAUGUGGUUUAAUUCGAAGCAACGCGAAGAACCUUACCAGGCCUUGACAUCCAAUGAACUUUCCAGAGAUGGAUUGGUGCCUUCGGGAACAUUGAGACAGGUGCUGCAUGGCUGUCGUCAGCUCGUGUCGUGAGAUG